GUAAACAAUGAUGGGGUGAAUUGUUCAAAUAACAAAAUAAAUAUAUGCACAUAUAGCAACAAUUUCAACAUAUUAAUUAUACUGGGUGGAGAUUUUAUUUAUUUAUUUAAUUUUUUCGCUGAUGGCACCGGUUCUGUUGUCGCUGAAUUUGUUGUGACGAUUGAAACUAUUAAAACAUGAUUUAUUGCUGUAAUAAUGCGCAAUAUUAGAAUACAUAAUCUCUGUUUUUCUCUCUAGGUAAAGCCUUGAAUCAGUUAACAUAUCAUAUAGUUGCUCUUGUCUCUGCCUCUAUCCACUGUUUUGUAUCUCUUCUGUAGCUUUCUAUUCCUCAACACUCAUUCAUAUUUCUAGGUACUCAUACGAAUCUUCUUCUUCUUCAACUUUAUAUUUUGUUGGGUUGCUCUACUCGAUCUGUCCCUGGAUCUCACUAAAACAUUGCACGGUUUUAUGCAUUGAACUAAAGAUAACCAUAUAUGCAAUCCUUUUUGGGAUUUAUCGGAACUGCUUAAAGCUCUUGAACUCGGAGGAAAGAGGGGAGAAGAAGAAAGUUAAAAGCAACUUCUUCUUUGUGUCGAAAUUUCAGCAAUAAUCAUAAAAACUGAUUCAAUGUUCUGGAUAGAAAUCAAGGAGUGUAUCUAUCUACCUACUCGAAUAAUCACUAGGCUCUCAAAGUGUGAAUUUUCUUGAAUGUCUUCUGGUUUCUUGGGGGUCCAUUUCAUGUCUUUGUGAAUGGAAUGGCUACUCAUUAAAAAGGGACCUAACUAUGCUCCACAAAGAAAGAAAUUUGCACUGAGAAUACAAGGGAGGUUAGUGUUAAGAGGCUUUUAGUUUCACUAACUGUAAGGAUUGCCAACUACUGCUCAUGUUGGUUGGAAGAGGAAGAUGGAGGCAAGUGAUGAGGAGUGGCAUUUGUUGGCAAAAACAAAGGGGGAAAAGAUGUUAAUUGGGUAUCAUAUGAUUGGGAGACUCAGAUUAGAGAGGCGUUAAGAUGUUUAUAAAUGACUAUACCGUUAAGCAAGGUUAAUAUAUAUAACCUCUGACAUAUUAACGAGAUACACAAAAUAUGAUAUGUACCUUCCUUCUUAUAUUAGUAUUUGUAAAACUAAGGUUGUUAUUUUGUCAUA